AUUAGAUCGAAGCAUUUCAGCCGUCCAAAGACAGCACUGUGGUGUGCCAGAGGCAGAGAACAGGAGGGACUGAGGUACCACCAACGCCCGAGGCCCCUGCACUGGCAGGGAAUUCAUUAGCUGGAAAGAAAAUUCUGGAACCAUCUGGGUUUGACAAUGAACGUCAGCUUUAUCUGCAGGAGGGAGGCUGGUCUUGCGGUCAAUGCGCUAGAAUUCCGGGAGUUUGAGCUCAACUCCUGGCUCUGCACGAAGUCACAGUGUGAUUUUGGGGACACCUGGCUUCUACAUGUUAGUGGCUGUCACUUCUGAAGCAAUCGCCCCGUCGUGCGAUGAGAAGAGGGAUUCCAAACUCCAGAGGUUAGAUAUGAUGGGCAAGAGCCUCAGCUGGUAUAAAUGAGCCUAACUCCCUUGACUUCAGUGGCCCUCCAUUCAUAUUCACUAGCCCUACAUCUAGCCUGCUGCAGUGGGAGUCCGAGGGCCAGGCCAAGGAGUCAGAAAUGGUUUGAGUGUGCAUUGGAUAUUGGGAAGGACAUUAAAGGGCUGGGCUUGGCGUCCCCUCCCUACCAUCUGCUGGGACUGAACUUACUCCCAACGGCCGCAGGGCUGUCAUGCAAGUGCAGCUCCUCAGAGUGGAUGCAGGGGAAAAACGAAGGCAGAGAAAACAAAAGAGGUAGGAAGUAGAAAGGGGCAGGGAAACAUGAGAGAGAGGCACAAGAAAGAUGAGCAGGAAGGGAUGGAUGCCUGUCUUGUGUGCGGGAGAGGGGACAAUUUAUGGAGUUUUUCAAGCUUUGUCCUUUUAUUAUUAUUAUUUUAUGAUUAUUUUGAAUACAAAUGUCACCACCCCAGCACUCACUGGCAGCUCUACAAUAACCAUCUAGUCUGGACCACCUAGGGUCAGGGAGCGACCCCGCAAAACUCAAUGCUCCAGAGCCCCCGGCAAUAACAAACUGAUGCUCACAGCUCAGUGCUUCACAGCAACCUGACUCUAACCAGCCAAGCCGCACACCACCAUCCACCCCACAGAAACACCCCCCGGUGCACAACUCAGCGCCAGUUAGCACCCCGCCAAUAAUAAACCGGCGCGUACAGCUCAGUGUGCAUCAGCAACAGGGGGUGCACAUGUGAAAGCUAAGAAGGAAAAUUAAUCUCUGUAAGGAUCCCGGCUUAUGUUUCCAAGUGGUUACAUUUCUAGUAUUGGAGAGAGGAAAAUGAUUAUUUAAAAAAGACCUUUUAUCUACAAUCUGCCUCCCCACCACAGCUUUCGUGUGCGGGGGGUGCGUCAAGGUGGGAACAUUUACAUUUUUAGGGAAACUGUUCACAAAAAAGUCUUUCUAAUGGCAAAUGUUGAAAUUUGAAAACUUGUUGACUAGCUGUAGUGUUGAGUUCUGCCUCAGGUCCUGAUACAGGAAGACAUCUCUGUCCAGCGGAGCACAGGUGAGUCCCACUGUAAUCAAUGCCACUUAAGCACAUGGAUAAAGUUUGGCAUGUGUUUAAGUGCUGCCCUGAAUUGGGGCCCAAGAUAGCAGACUGGGCUGUUCUCAUUUGGUAAUGAAUGGUUAGAGCUGGUUUGAGUUACGGGUCCCCUGAGCCCCUAUAUUUUUAAUGUCAGCUUAAUAUUUUAAGCAUCUUCUCACUCAGGCUUUGGAUUUUAAGCUGAGGUUGUGCCUUUAUUAGUCGUGCAGCAGCAGGAGCUGCAGCAGGCGGGCCUGGUUGGGGCCUGCUGUGGUUUCCAAGGCCCCCCACAACCCACCCUCACCCCUGUAACUGAAUAACUGAUUUCAAGCCGGUGACUAAGCAGGGACUGACGUGGGGCCUAGGCCUUGUAGGUGUGAAGUGGUUCUCGAGGGGCCACUGCAAGGAUCCUCUGCACCCUGAGAGAGCAAAUCAUUCCUCACCCCCCCAUCCCCUUUCUGCCCCCCUCAUUUCACAUUAAGGGCCAUCGUCCCCCUGAGCUGCAGGAAUGAGGGACCGGAAUGGGGGAGAACUAAGAGGCCUCCCCAGUGCCGAGGAAACCAGGCAGCGCAGAGUUAAGUCAGGAAGCUAGAAAUAAUAAUCAUCAUCAUAAUCAUCGGAGCCUAUGGAAUGAGGAAGUUAAGGGCUGGGUACCUCGUCGUUUGUGAAGCUCUUGGCAAGCGCUAUGGAAAACGGAGGCCUAGAGAAAUGUCACAGCAGGCUAAGCUUGUUCGGAGAACCACACACGUGUAUUUAAGCCAUCAAGCCCGCCAUUGUUCUCCCCUAAUUAUUCCCACUCCCUGAGUCUUACACCCCAUAAUUCAGGGAAGCUGAGUAAUGGAAGAAACAACAACAGUUUUAAUCUCUCAGUACCGGUGGUCUCCACCAACAAAAAUACUUUCAAGAGCUCUGCGGUUGCAGCUUCCUCAAUUUGGUGGGCAGUA